rnacentral:rRNA from 1 species
GGGGAGGGAAUGUGGGCUUUGCCUCAUGAUUCAGCGGCGGACGGGUGAGUAAUGCCUAGGAAUCUGCCUGGUAGUGGGGGACAACGUUUCGAAAGGAACGCUAAUACCGCAUACGUCCUACGGGAGAAAGUGGGGGAUCUUCGGACCUCACGCUAUCAGAUGAGCCUAGGUCGGAUUAGCUAGUUGGUGAGGUAAAGGCUCACCAAGGCGACGAUCCGUAACUGGUCUGAGAGGAUGAUCAGUCACACUGGAACUGAGACACGGUCCAGACUCCUACGGGAGGCAGCAGUGGGGAAUAUUGGACAAUGGGCGAAAGCCUGAUCC